rnacentral:tRNA from 1 species
UAACAUGCCUGCCUGUCACGCAGGAGAUCGCGGGUUCGAUUCCCGUCGGGACCGCCA